rnacentral:lncRNA from 1 species
CUGCAUUGCAGCAGGACUCAUCACCGCCACGGAACCUGGUCGCGAGCGGAGGGCCUGCGGCGCGAAGAGGACAGCGGGAGGCGUCUCGCGGCCCGGCCUGGCCUCGGGGAGCUGCAGCUGGCGCUCCGCGGAUUCCUGUGCGAAAGGCGAGGGUGGCCAGGCGUCAGUGGAGAGGUGUCAGCCGAAGCCCAGGCAGGCAGCGGGAGUCCCGGUGGUGACCCUGGUGCCCUUCAGCAUGCGUGGCCCCAGGGCCUGGGCUGGGGGCCCCCUCUCCUUGCCGAAUCAGGUCAGCUCCAGGGAGGCGGGGCUCCACACCACAUGGUCCGGCCAGAGACUGCGCCUGCUCCAGAGCCAGGCUGACAUCCGGCUGUGCCACCAGCGCAAGGAGCUGACCAAGGUCUGUCCUCACCGAGUGGAGCGAUCUUACAGCAUGACAGGCACCAGAGUGGCAAUGCGGCCAAGGCGUCAGGAUAUCAGGGAGAACCAUCCCCGAUCACCACUUUCUGCAAGCAGAGAGGACGACGGCAGCCCCUGCGAGCGAUGGGAUCUCUCUUCACAGGCCUGGGAAUCCUCUGGUACCGGAGCCGGGAAGCGGAGCGCGGAUUAGGACACAUCUCCUCCUCCGAGCGAGCGGCCCCAUCUGUUUCCCCAGCCUCCGCCACCCCGUCUGGGUGCCCCCUGCCAAAAACCAGCAAAUGUGCCUCGAGUGGUUUUGUGUAUUGGUGACACGCCAAUAAUAAUAAAAACAAUUACCGGACUCCUGAGGUCUGAUUCCGAGAUAAUUGAGUAGCUCUGCUGUUCAAAGUGCUGACAGAGGACAGUUUUCAAAGUCGUGCCCUGAUAUCCUGUCAUCUCCUGGGGCCCUUCGUGGGAGCCCAAGACACCUAGAGAAAAGAAAACUUUAUUAUAAAUGAGCAAAAUCAGCUUAAUUGUCUUCAGUAAGUCAUAAGGAACAUUUGCAUUUAGUUUUACAAUUUAAAUUAUAAUGUGAAGGAAUUUUCAAUAAAUGCUUUUCAGGGUUUG